GCCGGAAUGGCGGAACUGGUAGACGCGCACGUUUCAGAGGCGUGUGUCCUUAGGGCGUGGGGGUUCGACUCCCCCUUCCGGCA
rnacentral:tRNA from 1 species